rnacentral:lncRNA from 1 species
UUGGAUUGUUCUAAUGAAGUUAUAUGCAAUACGCAGACUACGUUCACAAACAAAUUAGUUUACUAGAAUUAUUCCUUCUUUACCUUCAGUGUCGCUUUUCCUUUUCUGCAAGAGCCUGUUUUUAACCAGAGAUCCAUGAUGAUUAUCGUUACUAGGUUAAUGUAAUUGAGAAACAUCACCCGUUGAGAUGCUGAGUUAUAUCCAGGAAGAAUAGUUUAAAGGAAUGAUGACAAGUUAUAGAAAUUAAGGUUGAGACAGAACAACAAAAGACUAUUUUAUUUGUAUAUAUGUAUAAAAAAAAAUAAUCAGUGUCGAAAUUUUAGUGAGGCAAUUGCCUCACUUGCCUCAAGGGUAGUUACGGCCUUGGGGGGGGGGGGGGGGGGGGGGGGCUGGGAUUUUUUAUUGUGUUCAUAAUUUUUUUUUCUUCGAACCUUCCUCCGACAAAAUAUUUUUUUUCUUAUGAGACGGAAAGCAAAAUUUUUUUUUCUUAUGAGAAGGAAAGCAAAAUUUUUUUUCCUAUAAUGUGGAACAGAAAUACAAUUUUUUUUCACAAAACCAUAAAAUUAACAUAAAAUUCAUUUUAAUUUUUUAAUUGAUGUAAAAUGUAAAGUGCAUGGCUCUGUCUAUAUCCUGGCAUUGGCUGUUGUCUCAGUUGUUUUUUUUUAGCCCACUUUCUACAUUAUGAUAUUCUCGGAGUCCGUCAUACAGGUAUCCUUAAAUUUUAAUACUGCAAUUGAAGUGGCCACCAUUGCCAUAUGUAAUGGCAAAUAGUGAGUAGCUCCAACUUAUAAAAUCCACUGUUUCCAACUAUGAUAAUUGACAUUCCAUUGAAAAAAGUAGUAUAAAGAAUGAUACAAACGGAAAAUACUACCAGUAUACAAGUCUGUGUCAUACACAAUCAGGGCUAUCUUAAAAGACUGCUUAUGAUACCAUAUCUAUUCCUGUUAUAAAAUGACCAUUUCAUGUUUAUAAUAGUUGCAGUUUUAAGUAUGGUCUUACAGUAGUAACAUAUAUAUGCGGGAGAUUUGGAAUUCUUAUAAAUAUUUCUGGAUCAAACACUAUUAUAGGAACAUACAAAAAGUGAUAAGGUAUAAAGAUCUAUAAAUAGAAAUCUUAGCUUAAUCUGUAUACUGGACAGAUGUUUAUAAUCUGCUGUUUCACUGUCUCGUCUGUUGUUAGUUUCACCAUUCUCAAAUUCAGCAGUGCAAAAAAAAAAUUUUCAAGCAGGUGACAGCAUAAAUUUUUUUUCAGCUUCAGUGCAAAAUAUAAUUUUUUUUUCGGUCAGCUAGGCCAUCAAAAUAUUUUUUUCAAAAAAAUCUCAGGCCCCCCCCCC